CGCGGCCUAUCAGCUUGUUGGUGGGGUGAUGACCUACCAAGGCGGUGACGGGUAGCCGGCCUGAGAGGGCGACCGGCCACACUGGGACUGAGACACAGCCCAGACUCCUACGGGAGGCAGCAGUGGGGAAUAUUGCACAAUGGGCGGAAGCCUGAUGCAGCGACGCCGCGUGAGGGAUGACGGCCUUCGGGUUGUAAACCUCUUUCAGCAGGGACGAAGCGAAAGUGACGGUACCUGCAGAAGAAGCGCCGGCUAACUCCGUGCCAGCAGCCGCGGUAAGACGAAGGGCGCAAGCGUUGUCCGGAAUUACUGGGCGUAAAGCGUGCGCAGGCGGCCCGCUAAGUCCUUUGUGAAAUCCCGGGGCUCAACUCCGGAUCUGCGGUGGGUACGGGCAGACUAGAGUGAUGUAGGAGAGACUGGAAUUCCUGGUGUAGCGGUGAAAUGCGCAGAUAUCAGGAGGGACACCGAUGGCGAAGGCAGGUCUCUGGGCAUUAACUGACGCUGAGGAACGAAAGCGUGGGUAGCAAACAGGAUUAGAUACCCUGGUAGUCCACGCCGUAAACGUUGGGCGCUAGAUGGCGGGGGGUGUGACCCUCCCGGUGUCGCAGCUAACGCGUUAAGCGCCCCGCCUGGGGAGUACGG
rnacentral:rRNA from 1 species